UUCCUCUAAACCGAAAAGAAUGAACAACCCCAUUCUUAUUUAUUUUCUAGGGAAAUGUUAGUUUCGAGAAUGCUGUGUUUGAUUUGGAUGUCCGUUCACAUUUCCUGUCGGGGUAGUCUGGGUGGAUUCUCGAUGGUACCUUCUCCAGUCCUCUGCCUCAUGCGAGUUUAUCUGGAAAGGGACAACCCAUUCUUAUUUGUUUUCUUGUCUGGGUGGGUGGAUUCUCCAGAGAUAGAGAGAGUGCUCUGGCGGGCUCGUUAAUCAGCUAAAGAGAGGAGGGCUGCCUUGGAAGGUUGUUGAUUGGUAUCUAAAGGGUUGAAGCCUGAGAUGUAUUAGGAUAUGGUAAUGGAGAAGACGAUUGGAUGUGGUAAGGGAUAAGGUGGUCUUUAUUUGCUUGAUGAUGGUUGUCUCCUUAUGACUACAACAUCAACAACUCCUCAUCAAUUACAUUCUGCUUCUUCUGAAUUGAAUCAAUGGCACUGUCGUUUGGGACACCCACCAAUUAGGACUUUAUCUCUUUUGUUUCCGUAUUUAGUUAAAUCAUGUACUAGGGAUGAACUCUUUUGUGAGGCUUGUACUCUGGCUAACACUCUCGUUCCAAUUAUUCACCUUUAAAUAAAAGAAGCUCUUCUAUUUUUCAUUUGGUUCA